GACGAACGCUGGCGGCGUGCUUAACACAUGCAAGUCGAACGGAAACGCCCUGCUUUUGUGGGGUGCUCGAGUGGCGAACGGGUGAGUAACACGUGAGUAACCUGCCCUUGACUUUGGGAUAACUUCAGGAAACUGGGGCUAAUACCGGAUAGGAGCUCCUGCUGCAUGGUGGGGGUUGGAAAGUUUCGUCGGUUGGGGAUGGACUCGCGGCUUAUCAGCUUGUUGGUGGGGUAGUGGCUUACCAAGGCUUUGACCGGUUGCCGACCUGAGAGGAUGGCCGGACACAUUGCGCCUGAGAUACGGCACAGACUCGUACGGGAGGCAACAGUGGGGAAUAUUGCACAAUGGGCGGAAGCAUGAUGUAGCAACGCCGCGUGGGGGAUGACGGCAUUCGGGUUGUGAACCGAUUUCGCCUGAGACGAAGCGUGAGUGACGGUAAUGGGUAAAGAAGCACCGGCUAACUACGUG
rnacentral:rRNA from 1 species